UACGGAGGGAGCUAGCGUUGUUCGGAAUUACUGGGCGUAAAGCGCGCGUAGGCGGCUUUGUAAGUUAGAGGUGAAAGCCCGGGGCUCAACCCCGGAACUGCCUUUAAAACUGCAUCGCUUGAAUCCGGGAGAGGUGAGUGGAAUUCCGAGUGUAGAGGUGAAAAUUCGUAGAUAUUCGGAAGAACACCAGUGGCGAAGGCGGCUCACUGGACCGGCAUUGACGCUGAGGUGCGAAAGCGUGGGGAGCAAACAGGG
rnacentral:rRNA from 1 species